AUUGAACGCUGGCGGCAUGCCUUACACAUGCAAGUCGAACGGUAACGCGGGGCAACCUGGCGACGAGUGGCGAACGGGUGAGUAAUGUAUCGGAACGUGCCCAGUUGUGGGGGAUAACUGCUCGAAAGAGCAGCUAAUACCGCAUACGACCUGAGGGUGAAAGCGGGGGAUCGCAAGACCUCGCGCAAUUGGAGCGGCCGAUAUCAGAUUAGGUAGUUGGUGGGGUAAAGGCCCACCAAGCAAACGAUCUGUAGCUGGUCUGAGAGGACGACCAGCAACACGGGGACGGGGACACGGCCCAGACUCCUACGGGAGGCAGCAGUGGGGAAUUUUGGACAAUGGACGCAAGUCUGAUCCAGCCAUGCCGCGUGCGGGAAGAAGGCCUUCGGGUUGUAAACCGCUUUUGUCAGGGAAGAAACGCUCUGGGUUAAUACCUCGGGGUAAUGACGGUACCUGAAGAAUAAGCACCGGCUAACUACGUGCCAGCAGCCGCCGUAACAC
rnacentral:rRNA from 1 species